rnacentral:misc_RNA from 1 species
ACCUCCCCAGAAAUAUUGGCUGCUUUGCUCAAUGCAAUUCUCCACUUUUGCACCUUAUCCGAAUUAUCCUUGAAAUCUUGCUCGUGCUUAGCUAAUGCUUUUCCAAAACUCGCAGUUUGAUUGCGUACAUCUGUUGGAUCUAUAUGGUAGAAUACAGGAAUUACCUUCUGUCCUUGUUUGUCCUUGCACUCCAAGAUCUUCACAAGUUCAUCCAAG